rnacentral:SRP_RNA from 1 species
CCGUGCUAGACGGGGAGCUAGCGGUGCCCUGUACCCGCAAUCCGCUAUAGCGGGGUCGAACUCCCUCUCGAGGUCUCGUGUUGUCGGGGACUGCCGAGGAGAAGUAGCGAUGAAGGCCGGGUCCUGCGCAGCAGAAGCCUACGAACUCCGUCAGGUCCGGGAGGAAGCAGCGGUAAGUAGUCACUUCUGGGUGCCGCAGGGGCACCUGGUUGGAGCCAACUGGCCUCGGUAAGCUGGGCAGUCCGGAUCGACAGAGGGUGCACGG